CUGGAGAGGGCCACGCCAGCGGAAAGGCGGCCCAAGGCUGGGAGGUGGCUGGACCUGCCUCGCUACUGGACACUAGGGUCCCUCCUCUUCCGGCCCGUCCGCCGGAGCCCCAGCCGGGAAUACGACCUUUUGGACCCUCUGGGUGGAGACUGCCUCUGCCUGGACUGUGGAAAGAGGCACCCCGCCAUCUUGGAGGCUGCCUGGAUCCAGCGCGAUCUCCAACUGGCCAGGGACCUCAGCAAGUCCCCGCCCCACUGGGAGCUGAGGGCUCCCCGUGUGAACCUGGAGGAGGAAGGAAUUCCCGGUGAAUAGAAGGUGAAUGACUUGGGCCCCUCAGAACAUGUCACAGGUAAGGGAGCAGGGUUCCCCCGUGCGAGUGCGCCUGCCCAGCUCCUCAGCUGGCCGGGUCUGGCCCAGCUGCCUCUGAGGAAGCUCUCGGCAGCUGGCCUGGCUCCUGGGUAUUUUUAGGUACAGGUCCAGCCCCUGCACCACCACUGGAGCUGGGUCCAGCUGAAACACACUCCAGGCUGGGUGGGGCUGGGGUGCUGCCAGCCCCUUGGCCAGGCAGGGGGUGGGCAGGCGGUCUGGGGCCAGCGUCAGCUGUUGUCCCUUGCUGCAGGCUGGCCCGGGAAGUCUCGCUCUUCCUCUCCUCCUCCCCCUGCCCCUCGGUAUUGUGGAAGCCAUUUGAUCUGCCUCAGUUGGGACUGUAGCCCUGUUUCUCAGGUGGAGAAAAUAGAAACCGAGGUCUGAGGAUUUUGAGGAAAGUCAGGAGGUGUGAUUAACUCCCAGGUGACAGUUUGCUCAGAGUGGGAUGACCCUCCUAAGCGCAUUCUGCCCCUAGCCCCUCUCCUUCCCUUCCUGUCUCUCCCCAGGCUUCAAGGGCCCUGAUUCAGGGUCAGGUCCAGGGCUGGCUGCAAAGGUAAGUGGUCUUCCCCUCACUCAAAGGCUUCUUCCAGCCUCCGUCUCCCCGAGUGAUAGUAACCUGGUCCUUUCCUGCCAGCCUCAAGCUGCCACUGUGGAAAGAUGACCCCCAGUCCUGCCUCACCAGCCAAUCCCAGCUCCUCCCUGGUCACGAGAGAGCUUGAGGGCCUGGCUUUGGCUGGGCUCCUGUUCUGUUCAGGAGUCUCCUGUCUGACACCCCCCCACCCCCGCCCCGCCCCUUGAGCCUGGCAGCAAGGCCCUCCAUGAUCUAACCCCGGUUACCUCGACAACCAUGUCUGGCCUCCCUCCUCACUCCCCAGGCACUGCAGAAUCUGAUGGGGUUUUCCAGCCACCGUUCAUUUGUCCAGGGUACCCAUCUUGCUCCCGUUGGUCUGCCCUCCCAACACUGCCAAGCUUAGGCUCAGCCUUCGCUGAGCCCUACAGGGGUCUGGUCUCUAAAGCGUUGACAUCUCCCAGGCCCCUUAAAGAGACUGCUUCCCCUAAGACAGCUCCCUCCAGGCAGGAACACAAUUGCCUCUCAGUAAACUUGCGUGGUAAAA